GCAAGUCGAACGGUAACAGAUCUUCGGAUGCUGACGAGUGGCGCACGGGUGAGUAACGCGUACGCAAUCUACCUUUAUCUGGGGGAUACACAUUGGAAACAGUGAAUAAUCCCGCAUACGAUCUAUGAGUGGCAUCACUUAUAGAUGAAAGUUUCGGCGGAUAAAGAUGAGCGUGCGUCUGAUUAGCUAGUUGGUAGGGUAACGGCCUACCAAGGCGACGAUCAGUAGGGGGCGUGAGAGCGUAGCC
rnacentral:rRNA from 1 species